rnacentral:misc_RNA from 1 species
GAGUGGUGUUUGGUUUGUUACGUGUGGUUGGCUGCGGCGUUUGCAACAACUUCCAUGCUUUCAGACCUCUUCAGUUUUGCGGCAAGGCUUGUAUCGCCUUGAGCGUAAUGCGGGUUUUCUGUGCUGGCUACCUAAUCAACGGUAUCGGUUGGAUUGAUCAAAGUUUGAUUUCGUCUUCCGUCGCAUUCGCGGCGUGAGGCGAACCUCGAUGCGGUCUCUUUGAUCCACCUCGUUGAAGCACGUGCUUCGACGUUGUGGCACAUUGAGCAUUGCUUGGUCUCUUGUAUACGGAACAUAUAGUGGGCAUGGAUCUAACGAUCCUCGUUUGCCCUCAUAUUAGCGUAACGCUUCUCUAACACGACUUGCGCCAUGUUUUAGCUCGUAC